UUUCAUUGGUUUAAGUAGAGUGGUCGGCCUUACAGGAUUCGUUCGACUUUCCCUGCAUAGCUUCAUAAGUCUCCUUUGUGGAGCUCUACUUUCGCCUCUGACAAUGUUUAGUGUUUGUGUUUCUGUUCUGGUUUCUAUAACACUUAUUUUUUUCCGUGGACAGGUUAUUAGCCUAUCGCACAACCCCUAAGUCCAGGGGAGGGGGAUGCACCUUUUGUCUGGCCUCUUUCCUAACAGACCUGUCCGGCUUGGUAGUACCUGCCAGGAGUGAUGAGCUCCCGCCGGAAUAGCUCUGAGGGUCAUUGAGGCACGCAAGCUGUCACACCACGGCAAGUGAAUGAAAUAAAGAAAGACCGUUAGAGAUUUUUGAGAGAUCGAACAUCCACCAAAACAGCCCUCUCACCUAAAAAGUUCUAGAUCCGCAUUUGUCUGAACUAUUGAAGGGGUUUGACAAAUGUGCAUCAACAUGUGUCAGUCAAAGCCCUAUUUUUUAAGCUUUUUUGGGCAUCUAUGAAUUAUCAUAAGACACGGAUAACUUGGAAACCAAAGUGUAUCAUCCACAUGAAAAAAUCAACAGA
rnacentral:sRNA from 1 species